CUUUAAAAUGGGCCACAAGUAUAUGGUGUUUCUCUGAGAAAGAAUGCUAGGAUGUGCUUUAUGGAGAAAAUUGUAUGUUAGACAAAUUUCAUUUAGGCAUGAAUUAUAGAGCUGCUGGCUACAGGGCAACAUUAAUGCAUUAAUAAUAUGUCUUAAAUAAGGUGUCUUUUAAGAGAAACCCAUAUAAAACAGGGCUAUAUAAUGAUUGCCUGAUGAGACCCCUGUGACCAGAGGCUCAUAGGAACCUAAUCACGUAUUUCCCCUAGGAGCCAUGGUUCCGUAUUCAAUAGUUCAGUGCUCAUGUUCACAGUGACUUUAUACUAUACUAUUACUGUGAAUAAAGAGAAUUAACCGUACAUAUGUAACUCAGAGCCUGACAUAUGAUAACUGCUCACAAAAUGCCUAUUAUAUUUCAUUAUUAUAUAAUGAAAAAUAAUAAUAGUUAUUAUUAGCAUUGCACAUACUUUACAUCAAUACAUUGAGUUUUAAGGGGAUUUACAGGAACCUUUAAGAAGAAAAGAAGGAAAUUUAACUUUACUGGCUGCUAUAAUAUCUCUCCAUUAGGAGCAGUCAAAUAAAAACUGGCCUGAAUCCAUUGGAAUUUAUCAUUUGUAUGACAUUAUUGAUGCUGUCUUCCUGGAAUUCCAAUAUGGCUCUAGACUCUAACAGAGUCUGGCAGAAUACUGCAAAUAGGAGGACAAAAGUCAAAAUAUCUUCAUUCACUGGCUUUGCAAAAUUAUUUGAUGAUCUUAGUGGUCUCAGACUUGAUUAGGUCUUAAACACUUUUAACUGCCCUGGGGUCACAGAUAUCUGAAAGCUCUUUAGCUGACAUACAAUUGAUUUUGUCAGAAUUGAUGAGAUUAGCUGGCAUAUUCUUCCUUGCCCCGUGGAGUAAAGAUCUGGAAGCAUAAUAGGUUGGGGCUUAAUCGGUUUUAUGCAGCCGUGCUUGAGUCCUUAAUAAAGGACAUGGACGUUGGCACCGGAAGUUUCUCCAAGAAACUCUUCCAACUCAAUUGCUUUAGAACAUGAUAAAAAGUCCUUUGUACAGGAAUCCAGGAGCUGCUGUAUGCUAAUGACGAUGCUCUUGCUGCCCAGGGGUGAGACGACGUGAAAAUGAUCACUCAGCCUCCAGCAAACUCUGCAUUGCAACUGGACCGAUCAGCCUGAGGGAGACGGAUCAGGUCACAGCCUCUACCGAGGAAACCCGGAAUCCAGCCAAAGACGUUCAAUGACGGUGCCGAAGAGGGGGGAUGCCAGUGAAUUUAGCCGUGCAGACUUCACAUAAUCCUAGUUUUCAGCUCUAAGAAAUCAGAUAGAAUGGGAUUCUAUACCCUUUGGGAAGCUGGAAGCCAGGGGGUACCAUCACCAUGACUUCCAGCUUGGAAAAAGGGGUUCUUUACAGCUCCACCUGUGUUCAGAUUUCUUAAAUGUUCUGAACUUGGACUUGUCUUAGUGCAGCAGAAGACCUCAAAGAGGAACUCACAAAGGCUAUCUAGGUCUCAUACAAGAGGUCUUCCAGUAGGAGCAAAAUUCUCCCAGCAAGAGCUGCAAAAGGUUGACAAACAUGAAUGGAGCAGUUCCCAUUGUGGCUCAGAGGGUUAAGAACCUGACAUAGUGUCUGUGAGGAUGUGGAUUCAAUCCCUGCCCUCACUCAGUGGGUUAAGGAUCUGGCAUUGCUGCAAGCAGUGGCAUAGGUUGCGGGUGAGGAUCCCAUGUUGCUGUGGCUGUGGUGUAGGCCAGCAGCUGCAGCUCCGAUUUGACCCCUAGCCUGGGAACGUUCAUAUGCUGCAGGUGCGGUUGUAAAAAGAAAGAAAGAAAAAAAAAGCAGAAUGGAGAUCCCUGGGCUAUACAGAGCAGAAUUCAGUGGGAUGGUACCCGUGCCCACAGAGGAAUGAUUGCUGUGAGGUAUUUCCCCAGGCGAUGCAAAGGAGCUUACCAGACUCUUAGGCCCCACAUCCAAGUUCCUGUGCAAUGCUAGACUGCAAAAUAAGUUCGGUCAAAGAAGACCAGGGGCUGGUACAUAAUUUCAUCUGGAAAAUGUGAACAUGUCUCAUCCAUUCAUUUUCCCCCAGUGCAGGACACUGGGUAGUGAAGAACAACCAUCUCUGACGUUACACGGCUCUGAUUUGACAGUUUAUUAGCUAAAUGACCUUCAGCAGGUUGCUAAAUCUCUCCUGAGCCCUCAUUAUUUUAUCAACAACAUGCUAGGACUGCUGCCCAGACUUGAUGGGAUUCUUCAGGGAAAGUUCCAGUGCCUGGCACACAUUCGGUUCUUGAUAAACAUCAGUUUUUGCCCCUUUGUUCCAAGAAGUUCCUCAAACACUGAUACCUGAAUUGGCUUGGUCUUGUUUUGAUUCUCUACUGUGCGCUGGCUUAAAAAGCUGCCUUCUUGGUUCUGAUUUGCUUCUGUUUCGGAGGUCUGGCUCAUAUUUUACACCUUGGAGGUGACUUAAUCACCCUGGCCUUGUUUUACAUGUCUUGGCUCUGGUUUGUUUCCCAGAUCACAUACGCUUUGACACUUAGAAUAGCUUGCAGGCCUCUGCCCUGAGUCUUGGCAUAUUCUCAACUAUGAAAGGCAGAAUUUCUUAGAUCUACUCAUUCAUCCACUUUCCUGAAGAGAGAGCAUGAAUGAAUACAUUCAAACAUCCCACUUCGAUCCAUGAUUCAUGAAAUAAGGUGGGAUUGGAGGUUUCUCCAUAAUUUUGUAUAAGGCACUGCAGAGAGAUUUUCCUUGACCAAAUCCCACUUCUUUCUCAUAAUUAAAAGUCACAGGUUCUCUAAUUUUCCACCAUGGCUCAGUUUACUGUAGGUUUCCUGAGAAAACUAAACUUGUCUGUUGUGAGGGCAAGGCAAUUACCAAUGUUAAAUCUGAAUGACUAGUAAGAUGGUUCAUUAAGUAAAACAUAUCUUUACUUGUAUUCAGAAUUUUUUAUUAGAAAAAUUGCUUCUUAGUAAAAAGAGUUCAUAGAUAAACUCUUUCAACUCCUUUUAUCCUAAAAAAUUUUUCUUUAAAGAUUGUUAAAGUCUCUCUGGCCUAGUAGUGAUUUUUUAUUUCCUGGCCAUGCCCGUGGGAGGCAGAACACCCAGGCCAAGAAUUGAACUUGUACCACUGCUGUGACCCAAGCCACAGCAGUGACAAUGCUGGGUUCUUAAUCUGCUGAUCCACCCGGAAACUCUUUUUUUUCCCUUCUAUUUUUAGGGCCACACCUGUGACAUAUAUAAGUUCCCAGGCUGGGGGUUGAAUCAGAGCUGCAGCUGCCGGCCUAGAACAUAGCCACAGCAAGGCUGGAUCCUUAACCCACUGAGCAAGGCCAGGGAUCAAACCUGCAUCCUCAUGGGUACUGGUUGGAUUUGUAACCUGCUGAGCCACAACGGGAACUCCAGGGGAGUCUUUACUAGUGAUUUUUGCUGCAUUUUGUACAAUUAGGAUCGGGUGAAGGAACUGGACGAGGACUUAUGCUCCUGGUGUCUUGGACUUUAUUUGCUAAGUCAUGUUCUUUCACCUAAAGAAUUCACCUAAAGAGCUAUGGCAUAUUGAUAGAUUUUCUUUCCUUAAUCAUGAAGGAAACGUACUUGACUGGGGCCUGCUUCCCACGAACUCUUGUGAUGGUGUCUCCGCAGUAGGUCAUACCAGAAAGCCCAGACCAGUAUUUCAUUCUAGCCAUCCUCGCUCAUCCCAGCUGCCUGCUUUCUGUCCCCUGGGGAGGCGAAUCCAUUUCCCUUGUCCUCCAGUCCCUCUAUCGCCUGCCCUGGCACUCAAGGAAGAGCUAGAAGACAAGGCCUUCACAAACGCUAUUGGUGGUGUGGCAGUUUGAGAGUCUGAAUUGAACCCUCUCUCCUAAAGCUCUUUUUCAAUUAAAAAUGUGAAUCAGUAGCUAUGUCCAAUGGAUAAGGCAUUUAAAAAAAUUAUAGAAACAGAGACUGUCCUAAUUGAAUCUCUAAUCUACCAAAAAAAAAAAAAAGAGGGGGAAAAAAGGAGGUAAAUAUCUAGUAUAUUUAUAGAAGAAAAGGAGGAUUAUUAUGCCUAAUACCUUUUUUUUUUUUUUUUUUUUUUUUUUUUGCCUUUUUGCCUUUUCUAGGGCCGCUUCCGCAGCAUAUGGAGGUUCCCAGGCUAGGGGUCUAAUUGGAGCUGUAGCUACCGGCCUACACCACAGCCACAGCAACUUGGGAUCUGAGCCACGUCUGCAACCUACACCACAGCUCAUGGCAAAUGCCGGAUCCUCAACCCACUGAGCAAGAGCAGGGACCAAACCCGCAACCUCAUGGUUCCUAGUUGGAUUCGUUAACCACUGUGCCACAAUGGGAACUCCUAUGCCUAAUAACUUAUUAAGGGAAGGUUGUAUAUGUUUCCAGUAAAUAAAUAGUUAAGGAAACAACACAUAUGUGGAAAGGGCACUGGACUUUUAGACAUAAGGCAAGAACCUCACUCUCAGUUCAUCAAUCACAUUAGCAGUGGGAACAAGGUACCUGGUGUCUAUAGGCUGCUGUUUUCUGUACUGUCUGCAGUGGCAACAAUUCCCGCUGCCUUCUUCACAGUCUUGUGACAAUAACAUGUGAUAAUAUUUGGGAAAAGCAUUUGAAGUGUUUGAAAUGAAUAAGGUCAUAAAACUGUAAGAUGCUGUUAUUGGUAGAAGGCCCUUAUUAUAGCAAGACCAUUGUAAACAGCCUUCUGACUCCUCUCUUGGCUUCUUGUAUAUAUUUUGUCCUAUUCCACAUGCACCUCAAUACUAGUUUAAUUAUCCAAAACAUGCCAUCUUCCUGCUCAAAAGCAGAAACAAACUCCCCCCUUUUCUCCUUUACAUGGAAAGAAGAAAUGUAAAGUAGAAAUCCAUGAUAUAGUUUAUUCUUGACAUUAACUCUCACUUUCCUUGCAGCCAAACCAGCCUCCUGACUGCCUCAUCACGCCCUGAGAUUUCCAGCUUCUACACCCUAUGCUGUGAUACCCAAACUCCAACGGUGAGCUCCACUACCAACACCAUGU
ensembl:lncRNA